GAACCGUGACAGUAACCAUCGAGCCUGUCCCGGUACAUUCAGAGAAGGCUACGGCGGAAUCAAGCUAUUUCAGGAAAUGGGCCGGCUUCAUGAUGAAAUGAAUAUCUGCCGAAGAUUCGAAGAUGGCUUUAAGGUCCUAGUACCCACAGUGCUUAGAUUGACUCAAAGGAAAUCUCCCCUUGCAGAUCUGGCUUUGCAUGAAAGAGAGGCUGCCCUCACCGAAGAUGUCCCUGGGAUUGAUUUCAGAGCUGCAAUCCUGCUGUUGCCGAUCCUGUUCAGGGAGAAAAAUGACAUUCUCGUCAUACUGGGGA